AUGCUGUGGAGCCUCUGCACUCUCAUCGCUGCUCUGACAUGUGUGAGCGGCGUGGCGGUGGUGACACAGACGCCGUCUGUGGUGACGGCGAGGAAAGGGGUCACGGCCUCCAUGGACUGUGACGUCUCCACAGACGACGGGUCUCGCUGGUAUCAACAGAUUCCUGGAGGAGCCACUCGAUUUGUGCUGAGAAAUCACCACAGCUAUCAGUCCCCACAGUACGGCCCUGGUUUCUCCUCUCCCAAGUUCACGUCGAGCCACGUUUCUGGGACAAAGUAUUGCUUGACCAUCAGCGACGUGGAGGAGGUAGACUCGGCGGUCUAUCACUGUGAGACAUGGGACGGGUCUGCUGGAGAACAUGUGUCACAGUGA